GAUGAAGAACGUAGCGAAAUGCGAUAAGUAAUGUGAAUUGCAGAAUUCAGUGAAUCAUCGAAUCUUUGAACGCACAUUGCGCCCGCUAGUAUUCUGGCGGGCAUGCCUGUUCGAGCGUCAUUUCAACCAUCAAGCCCUUUAGCUUGUGUUGGGGACCUGCGGCUGCCGCAGCUCCCGAAAUGCAGUGGCGGGCUCGUUGUCACACCGAGUGCAGUAAUCAUUCUUCUCUCCGGGCGUGGCGGCGGGUUCCGGCCGUAAAAUCACCAAUUUAUCAAGGUUGACCUCGGAUCAGGUAGGAAUACCCGCUGAACUUAAGCAUAUCAAUAAGCGGAGGA
rnacentral:misc_RNA from 1 species